GACGAACGCUGGCGGCGUGCCUAAUACAUGCAAGUUGAGCGCUGAAGGUUGGUACUUGUACCAACUGGAUGAGCAGCGAACGGGUGAGUAACGCGUGGGGAAUCUGCCUUUGAGCGGGGGACAACAUUUGGAAACGAAUGCUAAUACCGCAUAAAAACUUUAAACACAAGUUUUAAGUUUGAAAGAUGCAAUUGCAUCACUCAAAGAUGAUCCCGCGUUGUAUUAGCUAGUUGGUGAGGUAAAGGCUCACCAAGGCGAUGAUACAUAGCCGACCUGAGAGGGGGAUCGGCCACAUUGGGACUGAGACACGGCCCAAACUCCUACGGGAGGCAGCAGUAGGGAAUCUUCGGCAAUGGACGAAAGUCUGACCGAGCAACGCCGCGUGAGUGAAGAAGGUUUUCGGAUCGUAAAACUCGGUUGGUAGAGAAGAACGUCGGUGAGAGUGGAAAGCUCAUCAAGUGACGGUAACUACCCAGAAAGGGACGGCUAACUACGUG
rnacentral:rRNA from 1 species